rnacentral:rRNA from 1 species
GUCAAUGCACCUGCCCUUCACUGAAUUUAUCCAGUCUCAGAAACUAAGCAGGGUUCGGUCUGGUUAAUCUUUGAGUUGGGAGGCCACCUUGGAGUAGCAGGUACUAUGGGCU